rnacentral:rRNA from 1 species
GACAGAGGUGCCAAGCGUUAGGCGGAAUCACUGGGCUUAAAGCGUGUGUAGGCGGAAUGGUAAGUACCUUGUGAAAUCCCACGGCUCAACCGUGGAACUGCUUGGUAUACUGCUUUUCUUGAGCCACUUAGGGGCUGUCGGAACAAACGGUGGAGCGGUGAAAUGCGUAGAGAUCGGAAAGAACACCAACGGCGAAAGCACUCUGCUGGGCCGACACUGACACUGAGAGACGAAAGCUAGGGGAGCGAAUGGG